UUGCAUUAUUAUUUUUGCAUAAGUUGCUUGCUUAAAUUAAGCUAGUAUAUAAGUAAGGAAAAUGAUAUAUAUAUAUAUAUUUGAUAAACUUAAAUUGCGACCAACGUGAAAGUGUAUGCAAUAAGAUAGAAUAAAUUAAGGGAAUUGAUAUUUUCACAAAAUUAUUUGAUAUUUUCGCAAGUGAUCCCCACUUUUAAAGUUAUUCAUCUUUUAUGUCCAAUUUACCCUUAAAUGUAGCAUACCCAAUUACACACUUACCCUCAUCUCUUUCCCCUACAAAUCAUCGGCAUUGUCCACAUUUAUCGAUCUAAAACCAGUCUUGUUGCAAAAAUUCCUCCGGAGAUAACAAUAGAUUGAAAGUACUCCCUCACUAAACAAACAUCAAUAGCAAAACUUUAUCCCCUUAAAUAAGAACCAACAAUCAAACUUGGCAAUCGAAGGCCACCGAUGUCGCCAACCUCCUCGGUUCUUCCAUAUCAUCAAGUCCAUAUACUCAGAGUGUCGUUGAUCACUUUGAAAACUGGUGCAUCUGAAAUCUCAAUCACUGAUCUAGAAAUUACACUCAACUAAUCAAUGUGGUUCAAUUUUAUCUAAGAGAAAGAAAAACAAUUUAAGAAAGAGAAUUUGAGUUGCACUUGUUGAAUGAAAAUUGUAAGAAGAUGACAAUGUAAUAGUUGAAGAAAGACUUGCAUAAGAAGGAUUGAGUUAAUUUGUUAUGAGCUUUGAUGUAUAUACAAGGAACUCAAUGUUGCAACUGAGAUCAUUAAACAUGAAAACACCAGCAAUUGAAAGGCUAAAUCAAAGCUGUUUCUGAAUCUAUGAAAUACAUAUUCAGAAAAUUUGAAGCUAAGUAUGGAUCUACAGAAAUUGCAAUCCAACUUCCAGGAUCUAUGCCACUGAAUCUCUUUGCGAUCAGAUACAUCAGGAAGGCUUUGAAAUUAAAAGUAACUCAAUGAAUUCUCACAAAAAGUGAUUAAAAGGAAAAAAAGAACAUAUUUAGUGAUUAAUUUGGGUAGUUUAAAUUUUUGGAGUGCAUACUUGGAUGAUAUUCAAGAGUGGAGAGAGAAAAUGAGUUACAGAGGGAGAAGGGAGGGCAAUUGGGUAAUGGGAAUG
rnacentral:lncRNA from 1 species